GAAAUUUGACUAUGCGAGGAUACAAUCGCUCUGCAGCCAUGUGUCCACACACCAAGUCAUAAUGAGCAUAAUGUGGACCAUCAGCAUCGCCAAAUACUUUGUACUUCACUAAGUUCUCGGGGAUAAGCUUCACUGUUUCAUAUACAGCUUCUGGGGGGCAGAUUUGGUCUCGGUCUCCUGCAAGAGCUAAGACAGGUACCCUACUUUUAUGAAGGUGAUCCUUGUAGAAAAUUUUAC
rnacentral:misc_RNA from 1 species